UUAGCUGCUCUGAAGGAUCUACCUGCAUCUCUUGGAAGCAACUCUUUGGUUGGGCCCCUCACGGUGGAUUUUUUGUGAGUGCCAUAUAGUCUCUAUUUGAAGACAGACCAGCUCAAAUAUACCUUUCAAAUUGGAAGAUAAGCUGGACCCCGUCUUCAGCAGCUAUCAGAGAUGACUGCCUGCCUAUUCCUUUGCGAGGGUAACCUUUACUUGAAUUUAUACCAAAUUUCCACCCCCACGUCAGAACUGGAAUCCUUGAUCCCCCAUUGCUGUGACUAAAGUAAUUCUGAACUUGUCCUCUGAAACCAUCUUCCCAUGCCCAAAGGCAAACAGUCAGCAGCCACAAGAAGAGAUGACAUUGAACUUCAAGAAGUUGAUUUUCAGUCUGGACUUGCAGCUCUAAAAUCUACCCACCACAGUGUAUUUUGGAUGACAGUUCAUCAAGAGGGUUGACUGGGCUUUGACCUGGGUUUGCAAAUCAGGUUAACACUCUUGUUGUUACUGCUGCCCACAGGAAAACAUUUUUUUCUAGGAUGCUCUUCACUU